rnacentral:tRNA from 1 species
GGAGGCUGACUGGACGGUACCAGAGCCGGAUUUAUAACCCGGAGUUCCCCGACAGGAACGGUGUUCGACCCACCCAGCCUCCGCCA